rnacentral:rRNA from 1 species
GACGAACGCUGGCGGCGUGCUUAACACAUGCAAGUCGAACGGAAAGGCCCUGCUUGCAGGGUACUCGAGUGGCGAACGGGUGAGUAACACGUGGGUGAUCUGCCCUGCACUUCGGGAUAAGCCUGGGAAACUGGGUCUAAUACCGGAUAGGAGCCAGUUUUAGUGUGAUGGUUGGAAAGUUUUUUCGGUGUAGGAUGAGCUCGCGGCCUAUCAGCUUGUUGGUGGGGUAAUGGCCUACCAAGGCGGCGACGGGUAGCCGGCCUGGGAGGGUGGACGGCCACAUUGGGACUGAGAUACGGCCCAGACUCCUACGGGAGGCAGCAGUGGGGAAUAUUGCACAAUGGGCGCAAGCCUGAUGCAGCGACGCCGCGGGGGGGAUGACGGCCUUCGGGUUGUAAACUCCUUUCGCUAGGGACGAAGCUUUUUGUGACGGUACCUAGAUAAGAAGCACCGGCUAACUACGUG